rnacentral:rRNA from 1 species
GUUUGAUCCUGGCUCAGAUUGAACGCUGGCGGCAGGCCUAACACAUGCAAGUCGAGCGGUAGCACAGAGAGCUUGCUCUCGGGUGACGAGCGGCGGACGGGUGAGUAACUGAGGGAAACUGCCUGAUGGAGGGGGAUAACUACUGGAAACGGUAGCUAAUACCGCAUAACGUCGCAAGACCAAAGUGGGGGACCUUCGGGCCUCAUGCCAUCAGAUGUGCCCAGAUGGGAUUAGCUAGUAGGUGGGGUAACGGCUCACCUAGGCGACGAUCCCUAGCUGGUCUGAGAGGAUGACCAGCCACACUGGAACUGAGACACGGUCCAGACUCCUACGGGAGGCAGCAGUGGGGAAUAUUGCACAAUGGGCGCAAGCCUGAUGCAGCCAUGCCGCGUGUGUGAAGAAGGCCUUCGGGUUGUAAAGCACUUUCAGCGGGGAGGAAGGCGAUAAGGUUAAUAACCUUGUCGAUUGACGUUACCCGCAGAAGAAGCACCGGCUAACUCCGUGCCAGCAGCCGCGGUAAUACGGAGGGUGCAAGCGUUAAUCGGAAUUACUGGGCGUAAAGCGCACGCAGGCGGUCUGUCAAGUCGGAUGUGAAAUCCCCGGGCUCAACCUGGGAACUGCAUUCGAAACUGGCAGGCUAGAGUCUUGUAGAGGGGGGUAGAAUUCCAGGUGUAGCGGUGAAAUGCGUAGAGAUCUGGAGGAAUACCGGUGGCGAAGGCGGCCCCCUGGACAAAGACUGACGCUCAGGUGCGAAAGCGUGGGGAGCAAACAGGAUUAGAUACCCUGGUAGUCCACGCCGUAAACGAUGUCGAUUUGGAGGUUGUGCCCUUGAGGCGUGGCUUCCGGAGCUAACGCGUUAAAUCGACCGCCUGGGGAGUACGGCCGCAAGGUUAAAACUCAAAUGAAUUGACGGGGGCCCGCACAAGCGGUGGAGCAUGUGGUUUAAUUCGAUGCAACGCGAAGAACCUUACCUGGUCUUGACAUCCACAGAACUUUCCAGAGAUGGAUUGGUGCCUUCGGGAACUGUGAGACAGGUGCUGCAUGGCUGUCGUCAGCUCGUGUUGUGAAAUGUUGGGUUAAGUCCCGCAACGAGCGCAACCCUUAUCCUUUGUUGCCAGCGGUUAGGCCGGGAACUCAAAGGAGACUGCCAGUGAUAAACUACAGGAAGGUGGGGAUGACGUCAAGUCAUCAUGGCCCUUACGACCAGGGCUACACACGUGCUACAAUGGCAUAUACAAAGAGAAGCGACCUCGCGAGAGCAAGCGGACCUCAUAAAGUAUGUCGUAGUCCGGAUUGGAGUCUGCAAC